CUUAGCCCUAAACUUAGAUAUUUCCCACACAAAAAUAUCCGCCAGAGAACUACGAGCAAAACGCUUAAAACUCUAAAGACUUGGCGGUGCCUCAAACCCCCCUAGAGGAGCCUGUUCUAUAAUCGAUACUCCACGAUCUACCUCACCAUCUCUUGCCAAAUCCGCCUAUAUACCACCGUCACCAGCUUACCCCAUGAGGGACACAAAAGUAAGCAAAAUAACCUAAACAAUUAAUAAGUCAGGUCAAGGUGUAGCUAAUUGAGAUGGAAGAAAUGGGCUACAUUUUCUACUUUAGAAAUAACCACGGAAGAAUACCAUGAAAUAGGUUUCACAAGCAGGAUUUAGCAGUAAACUGGGAGCAUAGAGCCCAAUUUAAGCCGGUCCUGAGGUACGC
rnacentral:rRNA from 1 species